UACCAGCUGGCUGCAACUGUUUAUUAAAAACACAGCACUGUGCAAACACGAAAGUGGACGUAUACGGUGUGACGCCUGCCCGGUGCCGGAAGGUUAAUUGAUGGGGUCAGCGCAAGCGAAGCUCCUGAUCGAAGCCCCGGUAAACGGCGGCCGUAACUAUAACGGUCCUAAGGUAGCGAAAUUCCUUGUCGGGUAAGUUCCGACCUGCACGAAUGGCGUAAUGAUGGCCAGGCUGUCUCCACCCGAGACUCAGUGAAAUUGAACUCGCUGUGAAGAUGCAGUGUACCCGCGGCAAGACGGAAAGACCCCGUGAACCUUUACUAUAGCUUGACACUGAACAUUGAGCCUUGAUGUGUAGGAUAGGUGGGAGGCUUUGAAGCGUGGACGCCAGUCUGCGUGGAGCCGACCUUGAAAUACCACCCUUUAAUGUUUGAUGUUCUAACGUGGACCCGUGAUCCGGGUUGCGGACAGUGUCUGGUGGGUAGUUUGACUGGGGCGGUCUCCUCCUAAAGAGUAACGGAGGAGCACGAAGGUUGGCUAAUCCUGGUCGGACAUCAGGAGGUUAGUGCAAUGGCAUAAGCCAGCUUGACUGCGAGCGUGACGGCGCGAGCAGGUGCGAAAGCAGGUCAUAGUGAUCCGGUGGUUCUGAAUGGAAGGGCCAUCGCUCAACGGAUAAAAGGUACUCCGGGGAUAACAGGCUGAUACCGCCCAAGAGUUCAUAUCGACGGCGGUGUUUGGCACCUCGAUGUCGGCUCAUCACAUCCUGGGGCUGAAGUAGGUCCCAAGGGUAUGGCUGUUCGCCAUUUAAAGUGGUACGCGAGCUGGGUUUAGAACGUCGUGAGACAGUUCGGUCCCUAUCUGCCGUGGGCGCUGGAGAACUGAGGGGGGCUGCUCCUAGUACGAGAGGACCGGAGUGGACGCAUCACUGGUGUUCGGGUUGUCAUGCCAAUGGCACUGCCCGGUAGCUAAAUGCGGAAGAGAUAAGUGCUGAAAGCAUCUAAGCACGAAACUUGCCCCGAGAUGAGUUCUCCCUGAGACUUUAGGUCUCCUGAAGGAACGUUGAAGACGACGACGUUGAUAGGCCGGGUGUGUAAGCGCAGCGAUGCGUUGAGCUAACCGGUACUAAUGAACCGUGAGGCUUAACCUUACAACGCCGAAG
rnacentral:rRNA from 1 species